rnacentral:tRNA from 1 species
GCCCGAGUGGCGGAAUGGCAGACGCAGGGGACUCAAAAUCCCCCGGGGGCAACCCCGUGAGAGUUCGACUCUCUCCUCGGGCACUA